rnacentral:rRNA from 1 species
AUACGGAGGGUGCAAGCGUUAAUCGGAAUUACUGGGCGUAAAGCGCGCGUAGGCGAAUAUUUAAGUCUCAUGUGAAAGCCCUGGGCUCAACCUGGGAACUGCAUGGGAUACUGGGUAUCUAGAAUACAGUAGAGGGUAGUGGAAUUUCAGGUGUAGCGGUGAAAUGCGUAGAGAUCUGAAGGAACAUCAGUGGCGAAGGCGACUACCUGGACUGAUAUUGACGCUGAGGUGCGAAAGCGUGGGGAGCAAACGGGAUUAGAAACCCUAGUAGUCC